rnacentral:rRNA from 1 species
UGCUUGUCUUAAAGAUUAAGCCAUGCAAGUCUAAGUACGGCCCUUCCAUUGUGGGGGCGAGACUGCGGACGGCUCAUUAAAUCAGUUAUGAUUCCCAGGAAGCUGGGCAUUCUACUUGGAUAACUGUGGCAAUUCUAGAGCUAAUACAUGCACGAAACAGCUUCGCAAUCCUCCCUCUGGUAGGGCGGAGAGGAGCGCACUUGUUAGCCCGAAACCAACGUAAUUUUGGUGAACUCUGGACAACUUUGCCGAUCGCAGGGCCUUUGUGCCGGCGACAUAUCUUUCAAGUGUCUGACCUAUCAUACUGGAUGGUUUGCGCUCUGCGCACCAUGGUUACAACGGGUGACGGGGAAUCAGGGUUCGAUUCCGGAGAGGGAGCAUGAGAAACGGCUGCCACAUCCAAGGAAGGCAGCAGGCACGCAACUUACCCAAUGCCGACACGGCGAGGUAGUGACGAAAAAUACCAAUACGGGAGUCUCUACACGAGGUCCCGCAAUUGAAAUGAGUACACUCUAAAUCCUUUAACGAGGAUCUAUUGGAGGGCAAGUCUGGUGCCAGCAGCCGCGGUAAUUCCAGCUCCAAUAGCGUAUGUCAAAGCUGCUGCGGUUAAAAAGCUCGUAGUUGGAUCUCAGAGUGGGGCUGGCGGUGCGCUGUAGCGGCGAUCUACUGCCAUACCCCAUGCAACUUGACGGCAGAACAGACUCGGGGUGCUCUUGACUGAGUGUGUCGGGUGGCCGGAACGUUUACUGUGAAAAAAUUAGGGUGCUCAAAGCAGGCCUUCGUGCCCGGAUACUGGUGCAUGGAAUAAUAGAGUAGGACCUCGGCUCCAGUCUUGUUGGUUUACGGAGCGCGAGGUAAUGAUUAAGAGGGACGGCCGGGGGCAUACGUACUGCGUCGUGAGAGGUGAAAUUCUGUGACCGUCGCAGGACGAACGAAAGCGAAAGCAUUUGCCAAGAAUGUUUUCCUUAAUCAAGAACGAAA